CCUACGGGUGGCAGCAGUGGGGAAUAUUGGACAAUGGGCGAAAGCCUGAUCCAGCCAUGCCGCGUGUGUGAAGAAGGCCUUCGGGUUGUAAAGCACUUUCAGUGGGGAAGAAAGCCUUGGGGCUAAUACCCUCGAGGAAGGACAUCACCCACAGAAGAAGCACCGGCUAACUCCGUGCCAGCAGCCGCGGUAAUACGGAGGGUGCGAGCGUUAAUCGGAAUUACUGGGCGUAAAGCGCGCGUAGGCGGUCUGAUAAGCCGGUUGUGAAAGCCCCGGGCUCAACCUGGGAACGGCAUCCGGAACUGUCAGGCUAGAGUGCAGGAGAGGAAGGUAGAAUUCCCGGUGUAGCGGUGAAAUGCGUAGAGAUCGGGAGGAAUACCAGUGGCGAAGGCGGCCUUCUGGACUGACACUGACGCUGAGGUGCGAAAGCGUGGGUAGCAAACAGGAUUAGAUAUCCUGGUAGUC
rnacentral:rRNA from 1 species